rnacentral:rRNA from 1 species
GACGAACGCUGGCGGCGUGCCUAAUACAUGCAGGUAGAACGCUGAAGAGAGGAGCUUACUCUUCUUGGAUGAGUUGCGAACGGGUGAGUAACGCGUAGGUAACCUGCCUUGUAGCGGGGGAUAACUAUUGGAAACGAUAGCUAAUACCGCAUAACAAUGGAUGACACAUGUCAUUUAUUUGAAAGGGGCAAUUGCUCCACUACAAGAUGGACCUGCGUUGUAUUAGCUAGUAGGUGAGGUAAUGGCUCACCUAGGCGACGAUACAUAGCCGACCUGAGAGGGUGAUCGGCCACACUGGGACUGAGACACGGCCCAGACUCCUACGGGAGGCAGCAGUAGGGAAUCUUCGGCAAUGGGGGCAACCCUGACCGAGCAACGCCGCGUGAGUGAAGAAGGUUUUCGGAUCGUAAAGCUCUGUUGUAAGUCAAGAACGGGUGUGAGAGUGGAAAGUUCACACUGUGACGGUAGCUUACCAGAAAGGGACGGCUAACUACGUG